AAGCAAUUCGUGCAUUAAAUCACAGUAAUUUCGGUAAUAUUGACGCAUAUGCAAAUGCUGCAGGACUUGGUUUCGGGGAAGAUGAUUGGCUCGGGUAAACAGCGUGGUGGUCUAUACUACAUGCAUCCAUCAACAAAUAAAUCGGUUGUCUUUCAUGUUUCUCAACCGUCUGACUUAUGGCAUUUACGCCUGGGUCAUCCCUCUUUUUCUCGUUUUAAAUUAUUAUCACAUUUGCUUCCAGAUGUUCAUAAAGAAUUAGGAAAUCAUUGUCCAAUUUGCCCA